GUUCGUUGAUCCUGGCUCAGGAUGAACGCUGGCGGCGUGCCUAAUACAUGCAAGUCGAACGAGGCCCUUUGUAUUCGUAGCGGUGUCCUAGUGGCGAACGGGUGAGUAACACGUAGGUGACCUACCCCGAAGAGGGGAACAACCCCGGGAAACUGGGGCUUAUACCCCAUAACCUCCUUGGAGUUAGAGGGCCUUGGAGAAAAGGAGCAAUCCACUUUGGGAGGGGCCUGCGGCCUAUCAGCUCCAUGGUAGGGUAAUGGCCUACCAAGGCUAUGACGGGUAGGGGGCCUGAGAGGGCGAUCCCCCACACUGGCACUGAAACACGGGCCAGACACCUACGGGUGGCAGCAGUAGGGAAUAUUGCCCAAUGGACGAAAGUCUGACAUGGCAACGCCGCGUGCGCGAUGAAGGCCUUCGGGUUGUAAAGCGCUUUUCUGGGGGAAAAGAAAGGACGGUACCCCAGGAAUAAGUCUCGGCUAACUACGUGCCAGCCGCGGUAAAACGUAGGAGGCAAGCGUUAUCCGGAUUUAUUGGGCGUAAAGAACGUGUAGGCGGUUUAGUAAGUCGGACGUGAAAGUUCCCGGCUCAACUGGGACAUGCCGUUCGAGACUGCUAGACUAGAGGGCAGCAGAGGGAGGUGGAAUUCUGGGUGUAGCGGUGAAAUGCGUAGAUAUCCAGAGGAAGCUAAGUGGCGAAUGGGGCGGCCUCCUGGACUGUCCCUGACGCUGACGCGAAAGCUAGGGUAGCAAACGGGAUUAGAAACCCCGGUAGUCCUAGCUGUAAACGAUGCAGACUUGGCGUUGGUGGUUUAACUGCCGCCUGGGGACUUGCAACUACGGCCGCAAGGGUCCG
rnacentral:rRNA from 1 species